UGGGGAAUAUUGGACAAUGGGGGAAACCCUGAUCCAGCGACGCCGCGUGGGUGAUGAAGGCUUUCGGGUCGUAAAGCCCUGUCAGGAGGAAAGAAUGCUCCUAUGAUAAAUACUCAUAGGAAGUGACGGUACCUCCAAAGGAAGCACCGGCCAACUCCGUGCCAGCAGCCGCGGUAAUACGAAGGUGGCAAGCGUUAUUCGGAUUUACUGGGCGUACAGGGAGCGUAGGCGGUUCGGUAAGCCCUCUGUGAAAUCUUCAGGCUUAACCUGGAAAAGUCGGGGGGGACUGCCGGGCUAGAGGACGGGAGAGGAGCGCGGAAUUCCCGGUGUAGCGGUGAAAUGCGUAGAGAUCGGGAGGAAGGCCGGUGGCGAAGGCGGCGCUCUGGAACGUUUCUGACGCUGAGGCUCGAAAGCGUGGGGAGCAAACAGGAUUAGAUACCCUGGUAGUCCACGCCUUAAACUAUGAAUACUAAGUGUCGGCGGGUUACCGCCGGUGCCGCAGCUAACGCAUUAAGUAUUCCGCCUGGGAAGUACGGCCGCAAGGUUG
rnacentral:rRNA from 1 species